GCUGUCCGGACUGCGAUUAGUUCAGUUUCUGUUCUCUUCGCGGGAAGCUCUGCAAACCUAUCACUUAGAGGAAGGAGAAGUCGUAACAAGGUUUCCGUAGGUGAACUGCGGAAGGAUCAUUC
rnacentral:ncRNA from 1 species